AUUACCAACGGCCUCUGGGAACAGUCUCCCAGCUGAGCAAAAGAGGAGAGGAGGAUUAGAUGAGGGGAGGAGAGGAGAAGAGGUUUUAAGUUAUAGUAUUUCCCAAAUGAUGAGCUGAGACCCACUGGAGGAUUGCAACUGAAGACAGGAUCCUAUCUAGAAACGUUUGUUUUGUGUUGACUUGGUAUGUCACAAGCAAAACACUUUUGGUGGAUUAUAGUGAAAAAGUGCUGAAUUAUAGUGUUAUAGUGGAUUAAUUAUAAUGGAUUAUAGUGAAAAGUGCAGUCACAGACAGUAUACACAGACAAUAUACUCAUUACACACUGCAAGACCAAAGGGCAUGGACGUCCAGCUUGGCCUACAGCUAAAGCAAAGAACACACACUCCCCUGAAUGAGGACACCACAAGCCAAAGUCCUGCAGACAUACAGCACUGUACACAUGGAUUCACCGCUGGCUUCCUCCUGAAACAUAUAUAAGUUAAGUUUAUGCUUGUUUACAGUUUUCCCACAGCGUUUCCACUCUGUGAGUAAUCAAAUGGGGGUUUGGAGUGAGAACACUGGCAGUGUGGUUGUUUGAUGCAGAUAGGGGCCCUUUUGAAGAGGGUUGAAGAGUUCUUAUAAACAAUGGACUGACUGCAGACUCAGCUGGAGGACCUGUGUGCACCUUGUGCUGGGGACAAGAAAAGGACCUCCACAUCCGGCUUCUUCACCUGCGGGAUCGUCUGAGACCAGCCACCCGGACAGCUGAUGAAACUGAGGAGUAUUUCUGUCUGUAAUAAAGCCCUUUUGUUUAUUAUUACUAAUUCUGAUUUGCUGGGCCUGGCUCCCCAGUGGGUAGGCCUAUGCCCUCCCAGCCCCACCCAUGUCUGCACCCUGCCCUGUCAUGUGAAAUCUAUAAUUAGGGCCUAAUGAAUUUAUUUCAAUUUACUGAUUUCCUUAUACGAACUGUAACUCAGUAAAAUCGUUGAAAUUGUUGCAUGUUGCAUUUAUAUUUUUGUUCAGUAUAUUUAUUACUCAUGUAAAUGUUUGUAAUUCAUGCUCACAGGGCUCAUUGACCUCCUAGACAGAGCUGCAGGUUUUAGGACUGGAGUUUGCAAUAUGGCAAUAAUGUCACGGUGCAUCAUUUGGUGAAUGAUCAUGUUUGUUGUACGUCGCGCAUGCUGUUUUCAUACAUGUAAAGAUAACUAUGUCUGUCUUUUUGAAAGCUAUGUCCGUCCGUCUGCCUGUCUGAUGUCUCGCUGUCUUUCUCUCUGUGUCUCUGUCUCUGUCAUCCUCUGCAUGUCCAGCUGUCUCCGCAUGGUGUGACUACCGUUCUUUAGAUCUCCUCUCUGAAGUGGUUGUUGGGAAACGUGGGUCUGCGGUUCUGUUGAUUAAUAAACCAUACCAAUUGAAGAUUCAA